rnacentral:rRNA from 1 species
AGUGAACGCUGGCGGUAGGCCUAACACAUGCAAGUCGAACGGCAACACAGUAAGAGCUUGCUCUUACGGGUGGCGAGUGGCGGACGGGUGAGGAAUACAUCGGAAUCUACUUUUUCGUGGGGGAUAACGUAGGGAAACUUACGCUAAUACCGCAUACGACCUACGGGUGAAAGCAGGGGAUCUUCGGACCUUGCGCGAUUGAAUGAGCCGAUGUCGGAUUAGCUAGUUGGCGGGGUAAAGGCCCACCAGGGCGACGAUCCGUAGCUGGUCUGAGAGGAUGAUCAGCCACACUGGAACUGAGACACGGUCCAGACUCCUACGGGAGGCAGCAGUGGGGAAUAUUGGACAAUGGGCGCAAGCCUGAUCCAGCCAUACCGCGUGGGUGAAGAAGGCCUUCGGGUUGUAAAGCCCUUUUGUUGGGAAAGAAAAGCAGCAGGUUAAUACCCCGCUGUUCUGACGGUACCCAAAGAAUAAGCACCGGCUAACUUCGUG